rnacentral:rRNA from 1 species
GACGAACGCUGGCGGCGUGCUUAACACAUGCAAGUCGAACGGAAAGGCCCUGCUUUUGUGGGGCGCUCGAGUGGCGAAGGGGUGAGUAACACGUGAGUAACCUGCCCUUGACUUUGGGAUAACAUUAGGAAACUGGGGAGAAUACCGGGUAUGAUCUACUGCUGCAUGUGGUGGGUUGGAAAGUGUCGGCCGUGUGGGAUGGACUCGCGGGUUAUCAGCUUGUUGGUGGGGUAGUGGCUUACCAAGGGUGUGACGGGUAGCCCGCCUGGGAGGGUAGCCGGGCACCAUGGGACUGAGAUACGGACCAGUAGCCUAUCGGAGGCAGUGGUGGGGAAUAUUGCGCAAUAGGCGGACGUCUGAUGCAGAAGCGCCGGGUGCGGGAUGCCGUGUUUUGGGGUGUAAACAGCUUUGGCAUGUGACGAAGCGUGAGUGACGGUAAUGGGUAAGGAAGCAACGGCUAACUACGUG